UUUGGGAUGCCUUCUUCUGAAGUCAUUGACAUACAAACUUAAUUCAGAAUUGGGUUGACUGAGUGUUACUGUUUAAAGGCUACAUGCCUAAGUAACCAUAUAGUUAUAUCUGUUCUAUUAAACAGUACUAUUAGUUUGGUGUUAUUUGUUAAGUGGGUGUAGGAGCAUUAAGUGUGUCUACCAGCCCUGACAUUAAAGGUAGGAAGAUAUUUUCUUUAUCUCACAUUUCUUAAUUUUCAGCUAAUUGUUAAGUUCAAGUUGUUGAAUCACUUAUUACGUCUG
rnacentral:lncRNA from 1 species